rnacentral:rRNA from 1 species
UACAGAGGGGGCAAGCGUUGUUCGGAAUUACUGGGCGUAAAGGGCGCGUAGGCGGUCUUCUAAGUCUUGUGGGAAAUCCCUCGGCUCAACUGAGGAACUGCACGGGAUACUGGAUGACUUGAGUUCGGGAGAGGGAAGCGGAAUUCCGGGUGUAGCGGUGAAAUGCGUAGAUAUCCGGAGGAACACCGGUGGCGAAGGCGGCUUCCUGGACCGAUCACUGACGCUGAGGCGCGAAAGCUAGGGGAGCGAAUGGG